CCUACGGUAGGCAGCAGUGAGGAAUAUUUGUCAAUGGACGAGAGUCUGAACCAGCCACGUAGCGUGAAGGCUGACUGCCCUAUGGGUUGUAAACUUCUUUUAUAUGGGAAUAAAAUGUUCCACGUGUGGGAUUUUGUAUGUACCCUAUGAAUAAGGAUCGGCUAACUCCGUGCCAGCAGCCGCGGUAAUACGGUGGUUCCGAGCGUUAUCCUGAUUUAUUGGGUUUAAAGGGAGCGUAGGUUGAUUGUUAAGUCAGUUGUGAAAGUUUGCGGCUCAACCGUAAAAUUGCAGUUGAAACUGGCAGUCUUGAGUACAGUAGAGGUGAGCGGAAUUCGUGGUGUAGCGGUGAAAUGCUUAGAUAUCACGAAGAACUCCGAUUGCGAAGGCAGUUCACUGGACUGCAACUGACACUGAGGCUCGAAAGUGUGGGUAUCAAACAGGAUUAGAUACCCGAGUAGUC
rnacentral:rRNA from 1 species